rnacentral:SRP_RNA from 1 species
GGGAGCAGCCCUUUGGUGCACAGCCGCCGUUCUCAGGGUCCGGCAUGAGUACAGGCUCCG